rnacentral:miRNA from 1 species
UUUCGAAAAUAAAAAAAGCAAAUACUUAGUUACAACUAAGUAUUUUAAGAAACUUAAAAUAUUAUUGCUUGAGAAUACACGCAUCAUAAUAAGAUUGAUCCCACAAACAUUAUGCUAAGAAG